AGCUAAUAGAUACCCAGGUAGUCCACGCCGUAAACGAUGAUGACUAGCUGUCUGGGCGCUUAGCGUUCAGGUGGCGCAGCUAACGCGUUAAGUCAUCCGCCUGGGGAGUACGGCCGCAAGGUUAAAACUCAAAGAAAUUGACGGGGGCCUGCACAAGCGGUGGAGCAUGUGGUUUAAUUCGAAGCAACGCGCAGAACCUUACCAGCGUUUGACAUGGUAGGACGGUUUCCAGAGAUGGAUUCUUCCCUUACGGGACCGUACACACAGGUGCUGCAUGGCUGUCGUCAGCUCGUGUCGUGAGAU
rnacentral:rRNA from 1 species